AACGAACGUUAGCGGCGCGCUUAACACAUGCAAGUCGUACGAGAAAGGGCUUCGGCCCCGGUAAAGUGGCGCACGGGUGAGUAACACGUAGGUAACCUACCCUCGAAUGGUGGAUAACCC
rnacentral:rRNA from 1 species